rnacentral:tRNA from 3 species
UCCGGGGUAGCUCAGCUGGCAGAGCAUCUGACUGUUAAUCAGAGGGUCGUGGGUUCGAGCCCCACCCCCGGAG